rnacentral:lncRNA from 1 species
AGACUCAACUCGCGCUGCCGGCUUUGCUACUUCAAGUGUCAUUUUCCACAACCAGGCAAGUUUUUUCCUCUCUCUCUCUUUUUUUUUCCUCCUUCUCUCCCAACCAAAGAUGUUUCUUUCCUUUGCGUGUAGAUGAGGAGGACGCUGGUUGCCGUAGACAGAUACACCAGAGAGGGUGGGGGGAAGGGGAGAGAGGGAGAGAGGAAAGGGGGGGAGGGAAAGAGAGAUAGAGAGGAGAGGGAGAAAGAGAGAGGGGUGGACCCUGCUGGAUGGAGAUUCUGUUUUCUCCUUGCUAAAAUAGAAGUGAUUUGCAGGCUUUCCCUAUGGAAUCCAGUUUGACUUUCCCCAGAGCUAAACACAGGCACACUAACCCCAAAGGGAGGAGGCGGGGCCCGCGCAUCGAGGCCCCGCCCCUUCAUUUGCAUAACGUCAUCUUUCCGCCCACCGCAGCCAAUCGCGGCCCGGGAGCCGGCUCGCUGGCGGCGCCAGGCCACGCUCUCUCAUUAACAUCCCGCUCCCGGUGGCGCAGGGGAGCCGGCCAAAGUUCCUCGCAAAGUGGCGAGCGAAGGAGCGCUGAGCACUGACGUCUGGGCUGGGGAGGAGCGGGUCCGAGCGAGGACGGAGAGGGGACAGAGGGAAAGGGAGGCGGGUGUCUUCCUCAGGAAUUUGAGCUGGGGAUCUGCAUCCUGGCCAUUGCAGUCCUUUAGCAUCCUCGCCGCGCCCUGAGCGCGCUGGAGGCUCGCAGGCUGCGCCCUCCCAGGGCUGAUGCCGCGUCCUGCUCCGCCGUUCUGGGACGUCGGGGACAAAAGUGGAGGAGACGGGAGAGCCCGGGCAGAAAAAGCAGGACGCGCGUCCCAGACAUGAUCGCUGGUAACAGAUGCCUGGUUCACUCUCAUCCUGGCCAUACCUGAGGACUAUGCUCCUCUUCUAGAAGUUCGGUGCAGUCAUCUGACUUAAUUGAUUCAGCGCAUUUAUCUGCAGGCUGGAGUACAAUAGCACGACAUCAGCUCACUGCAACAUCUGCCUCCCGGGUUCAAGCAAUUCUCCUGCCUCAGCUUCCCGAGUUGCUGGGAUUACAGGCACCUGCCACCAUGCCCAGCUAAUUUUUGUAUUUUUAGUAGAGAUGGGGUUUCACCAUGUUGGUCAGGCUGGUCUUGAACUCCUGACCUCAGGUGAUCCACUUGCCUCGGCCUCCCAAAGUGCUGGGAUUACAGGUGUGAGCCACCGCACCUGGCCUGUGAGAUGGUUUUCUUGGGUAGAAUGAAAGAAGCUUGGCUACUGGGUCCAUUUUAUGUGAACAUGUUGCUCCCUAUUAUAGUCAGUCCCUGGAACCCAUUGUAAAGUCAGUUCUGGGUUUUUGCUUAGCUACCAUGUAGUAACAGUCACAGCCUGUCUCCUGUCACCCUAACACCAUCACCAUUGCCAGUGGAUAUUUUUACCCCUAGUUUAUAGUUAGGAAGCCUGAGACCCAGAGGGAUUAAAGAGCUUUUCCAAAAUCAUAUGGCUGGCAACACUAGUAAUCUGGGCUGCCUGAGUCCUAAACAUCAUUCUACCCCAGCAUUGAAUUCCGAGGCCUCUAGAAUCUUACCUACCUUCCCUGUUUGAAAUGUAUUUGUGGGGGAACAAUUGACCUCAGAAUGAGUAAUUUGUCACUACUCUGAGAAAGUUUCACCGAGUUUCACAUUUUCCCAUUACAAAAGGAAAAUGAGAAAAUAUGUCCUAGAUACUACAGAGAAAAAUACUUCAUUGUCUUAAUUGCCUUUCUAUUUCAAUCAAGGAAGGCAUUUAAUUAUUUCUGAACUACAUUCAAAACUCUCUCUCAAGAAUAUUACUCUCCCCAGGUGAGUUAACCAAAGCUGUGCACAACAUUUCUCAAUCUGAAUAAUAACAUCAAAAAAUUUAUUGAGCACUUUUUAUAUGCCAAACUAGUCAAUUCUUUCUGUUUAUGACCUCAUUGAUUCCUCAUGGCAAGUUUAUGAAGUGGAAGCAAUCAUUCUCUCUUCUAACAAAUGAGGAAACUGAGGCACAGAGGGAUGAGAUAGUUUGUCUAAGAUUGUAAGGCAUUAGGUGGUGAAGUCAGCAUUGGAUCCCAGGCCAAGCCCGAGGCCAUCACUCCACCAUGCUGCCUCUCAAGAGAAAGAUUCAGUUUCCCCUUUGAGAUAUCCAUUUAUAAGUACAUGUGCCAAAGCAAUGUGAAGAAACCAACCCAGAUGACUUGAUUAAGCUACAGAAGGGACAUCUGGGGUCUCAAGCCUCUGGAAAUCAAGGUGGAGCAUGUAGAGGUUAUGGGAUCAGGAGAGACAGAGUUUGACUUCUUUGUUUUUUCUUUGAGACCAAGUCUUGCUCUGUUGCCCAGGCUGGAGUGCAGUGGUGUGAUCUUGGCUCAAUACAACCUCCACCUCCUGGGUUCAAGUGAUUCUCCUGCCUCGGGCUACUGAGUAGCUGGGAUUACAGGCGCACGCCAUCAGGCCGGCUAAUUUUUGUAUUUUUAGUAGACACGGGGUUUCACCAUGUUGGUCAGGCUGGUCUCGAACUCCUGACCUCGUGAUCCACCUGCCUCGGCCUCCCAAAGUGCUGGGAUUACAGGCAUGAGCCACCGUGCCCGGCCUGGGUUUGACUUCUUAAGCAACCUGAGGAAUGAUGUCCUUGCUGCUGAGCACAGCUGCCCUGGGCCCUGGAAAACCCACAUGACACUCACUCAGCACCCAAUGCUGGCUUCAUUGUGGCUGUUGGAAACCAUGUGGAAAAGAAAUAACUUUUUUUGUGAUCUGUACGUUAUGGCUAUUAUUUUUUUACCUCGCUUAGCUUUUCAAGAGAAUGAAGACCAGUCGACUUAGUAUUUGUACUCUGAAAUCGAAUGGCAUGAACACAUGUGUUGUAUAAGUGAGAAGAAGUAUUCUCUUGUGUGAUGGACUAUAGCCUUCAGAAAGCACCUACUAUUAAACAGAAUAGAGAUUGGAUUUUGAAAUAUGUAGGCCACAUCAGUAGGAAAGUUGACACUUCAAAUUGCUCACAAGGACUUUAAACUCUACAAUAGGUAAAAUGUGGAGUACCUUAUGUUUUCAGACCAAAUGAUUUUGUAAUUUGAAUUCAAAAUUUUUUUAGUCUUCACAGUAGUCUUAGCAUUAAAAGCAUAGUUAUUUUUAAUAUUUUGAUAAAAUAUUCUAUUUCAUUAAUUUUGUAUAAGGGCAUGUGUGAGAAGCAUUGAUAUUUUUAAAAUAUAAAAAUACAGCCUCUUUCUAAUAAGCAAGAGCAAUUGUUGAUUUUUAAAUUUUGUGUUUUUGGAGGCUUCCAUUCACAAAUCUGAUUGUUUAAAUAAAUCUGUCUCCAGUAAAUAUGUUGGCACUUAGACUACGAC